GACGGAGGAUGCAAGUGUUAUCCGGAAUCACUGGGCGUAAAGCGUCUGUAGGUGGUUUAAAAAGUCUACUGUUAAAAAUUGAAGCUUAACUUCAAAGAUGCCGUAGAAACUUUUAAACUCGAGGAUGGUAGGGGUAGAGGGAAUUUCCAGUGGAGCGGUGAAAUGCGUAGAUCUUGGAAAGACCACCAAUGGCGAAGGCACUCUACUGGGCCAUUACUGGCACUAAGAGACGAAAGCUAGGGGAGCAAAUGGG
rnacentral:rRNA from 1 species